ensembl:lncRNA
AGGGAAUCAUGUCAGCUUUAUUCAUUUUCUUUCUGCAAUGCUCUGAACACAGCCCUAAUCUAACCAACUCACAUCUGUUCACCUCUGACCUUCUUCCCCUGUCUCCAAUCUGAUUGGUCAAGAUCCAGACAGCGCUUAGCAACCCAGGGAGUUCUGACCAGCCCUUGUAAGGGCAGAAGGAGUGUUUGUGUUAUGUCUCCCUGAGUUUUAAUGGAGCUUUCUACGAAGGAGAUUAUAUUUGAUACUUUUAUACUUCCUAUAAAAACAUGUAGUACAUUAGGAGGAAGUCUUUUCUCUUGUUUUAGGGGUCAAAAGAUCAGAUUUUAGGAUUUGAGCUUGUUUUACUGCUGUAAUGUGGUGAAACUUUAAACAGGAUUGAACUGAUUAGAGGAAGGCUUAUAAACAGCCCAGUAUCUCAGGACAGGCAAGGCAGUGGAACAGUGAAAGCCUCUAUUCUUUCUCUCACUACUCCCUUGUUCUUUCUCUCUUCCCCCCUCUUUCAAAGGGAAUUGGAAACACAUGUUUACAUUGCCAAAGCAAGUGGAAUAGACAAACAAAAGGGAAAUAAACUCUCUCUCUCUCUCUCUCUCUCUCUCUCUCUCUCUCUCUCUCUCUAGUCAGUAGGAGGAGGGCUGUUUAUUGUAGGUGUGGCAAGGGGAGUGGCCGACCUUCAUGCUGAGAGGUCACGGAGGAGGAGCCCCAUGGAUGAGGGUCAGUGCGAGAGUGCGGGACCAGUGGUGUCAGAGGGUCAGGAGGGCGUAGUGGACCUCCACUACAACCAAUUGGACCCCUCGGAACCAAUUCAGGUCUCCGCCCACCAAAACCAGAACUUGACACAAACUCAACUCGAUGAUGGUCAGAGGGUUGGAUGUGACUCCAUCGAACAAGACUCUUUAAAUGCUAAUAGGGAUGAAGAGGAGGAGGAAGAUGGUGAUAGAAAGAUGAAGGGAGAGGAUGAUGAUGUGAUGGUGGAAGAAGAGAAGGACAGUGUGACAGCACCCGACACUCCUAUGACUGACUCCUCCUUCUCAGACACAGGCAGUUUGGUAGAGCUUCACCCUUCUGUGUCUCCAGAGACUACAUGUCCCGUCAGCCUCGUAGCAGGUUGUCCAGACGAACCCUCCUACAGUAACCCUGAAGGGAAGAGGCACACCUCCACCACAGAACCUACAGGACCUACCUCCACCACAGAACCUACCACCUCCACCACAGACCCUAGCACUGCCCUCCUAGCCUCCCUAGAGGAGCUAGGGGAACGUAAAGAUCACUCCCACCUUCCUCAGUCCCUCCAUCAGUAGGGGCACUGCUGUCAUUUCUGAUCAGCACCUCUCUGCAUCUGUCUACUCCAAUGAUGUAAAUACAUCAUUGGUCUACUCCCUCCCUCCUCCCAACACUUUCAACUGUCUCCUGGGGGCGCGUUCAGGUGGGUUCAGCGUUACAGAAUGUUCAGAUAUAAAUGUAUUGUUGAGAACAGACAUGGCCCAAAUGGAACCCUGGACCCUAGCACAGACUGGGAGGAUUUGACCGGUGCAGUCAAUAUGGUAAUCGCUCCACCUUGCCCUCUGAUAGGUUAGGUGAAAGUUUCACCAUAUUUAUUAUGGCAAUCAAAUCCUCUCAGAUCUUCACAUUCGCAUAGGGCAGCGGUUCCUAAACUAGGGGUCGCAACCCCAUGUGCCUAAUAUGAAAAAAUACAAAACAAAUUAUUUACUGUAUAUUAUAAUAUCGUCUUUGUAUCUCAAAAUCAUGUGGUUGACCUUAAAAUAUCUAAAUGAAAAUGAUUCAAAUCUAAAGGGUAAUAUUCAACCAGAUCAUGGAAAGAGGCUACACUGUACUGGUGAAUCGGUUGGACCAGCAACACUAUGAAACCACACAAUAUUGCAGAGACUUUGAUAUUACCAGCCGCAAUUUAUAUAGUGAAAGCCAUGUGUGGGGAGGGAAGAGGCUCAGAAACUCACAUCAAUACAUUUGUCAAAUAACAGUGUUUAAUGAAGAAUUCAUGCUAUUGCUAGCAAUCAACAGGAAACUCUUAAUGACUCAAACUGCCAUAUGGAAGCAUUGUAUGGCACAACGAGAGCAACUGGCGCCAAACGAGCUGAGCAGAGAACUCUGACUACAUCAAACCACAUCCACUGCGCACGCCUGUUCACAAAACUUUGUGGAGAUAAGGGAUCAGAACAUGACAAUGUUGUAUUUCACAGCGAAGCUUGGUGGUUAUCGAUGGGGAGUGGUGGAAAGAUGUUUUUCAUUAAGAGAGGAACUCUUGUAGUUCACAAUGGAGGUAAAAAAAAAACUUGGUUGACUUUCUGUGUAAUGAAAAGAAAACGAGUCUCCUUGCCUAUUUAUCAGACCAAUU